rnacentral:rRNA from 1 species
GACGAACGCUGGCGGCGUGCUUAACACAUGCAAGUCGAGCGGUAAGGCCCUUUCGGGGGGUACACGAGCGGCGAACGGGUGAGUAACACGUGGGUGACCUGCCCUCAGCUCUGGGAUAAGCCUGGGGAAACUGGGUCUAAUACCGGAUAUGACUCCAUGACGCAUGUUGUGGGGUGGAAAGCCUUGUGCGGCUGAGGAUGGGGCCCGCGGCCUAUCAGCUUGUUGGUGGGGUGANGGCCUACCAAGGCGACGACGGGUAGCCGGCCUGAGAGGGCGACCGGCCACACUGGGACUGAGACACGGCCCAGACUCCUACGGGAGGCAGCAGUGGGGAAUCUUG